GACAGAGGAGCCAAGCGUUGUCCGGAUUGACUGGGCGUAAAGCGCACGCAGGUGGUGGGGCAAGUGCCGUGUGAAAGCCGGUGGCUUAACUGCCGGAGGCCAUGGCAGACUGCCUGACUUGAGCCCGAGAGAGGCCCGUGGAAUUGCCGGUGUAGUGGUGAAAUGCGUAGAGAUCGGCAGGAACACCCAAGGAGAAAUCAGCGGACUGGCUCGGUGCUGACACUGAGGUGCGAAAGCGUGGGGAGCGAACGGG
rnacentral:rRNA from 1 species